rnacentral:rRNA from 1 species
UACAGAGGUCCCGAGCGUUGUUCGGAUUUACUGGGCGUAAAGGGUGCGUAGGUGGUCGGGUAAGUCUCAUGUGAAAUCCCGCAGCUUAACUGCGGAACGGCAUGGGAUACUAUUCGGCUCGAGGAUUGGAGGGGGGACUGGAAUUCCCGGUGUAGCAGUGAAAUGCGUAGAUAUCGUUUGGAACGCCAACGGUGAAAACAGACAGCUGGGAGUGUGCUGACGCUGAGACACGAAAGCCAGGGGAGCGAACGGG